UCUUUUCUAGUUUAUAUCAAAACGUUAGUGUGUGGAUCUAAAGAUUACUUUUUAGGUGGAAAGAA
rnacentral:tRNA from 1 species